AGAGGAUACCCUUUGUAUGUU
rnacentral:miRNA from 7 species